rnacentral:lncRNA from 1 species
CGGAGACGCAGUCGUUGUCGUCGUUCUUUGGUGUGAGCACUGGACACAGCCACGCGCUACUUCUCUUGCCAGGAGAAUGCUGAAGCCGAAGUAGAUUGACUCGCUGCAAGGCAAACGUGUGCAGACGCGCAUCACCGAUUACUUCAGUUAAUGACUGGUGUCCUGUGAUUUCUGAAUAAAUGUAAGUCUUCUGAAACUUCCCCCUCGUGUAUUGGAUUGAACGGAGGCGCCACUGCAGGUGACGCCUCCGUUCAAUUACCGUAUUUACUCAAUUCUACCGCGCACCCUUUUCCGCGACCAAAAAAAAAAAUUUAGACAUCGAUUGUAACGAUGUAAUGCACCCAUUUUUCGUGAGAGAAAAGAACAAAAAAAAAGUCUGUAGGAAUCAAUCUUCGCAUAUUCCGAAGAACAAGUAUUUGUAUUUUAAAGAACUAAAGUUUUAAAAAAUAAAACAAAAAGUCAAACAGCG